rnacentral:rRNA from 1 species
UGGCUCAGGAUGAACGCUGGCGGCGUGCCUAACACAUGCAAGUCGAACGAAGUUACUUGCUUAGAUCUCUUCGGAGUGACGAGCUUUUAACUUAGUGGCGGACGGGUGAGUAACACGUGAGCAACCUGCCUUUCAGAGGGGGAUAACGGCUGGAAACGGUCGCUAAUACCGCAUGACAUAUUGAAUCGGCAUCGGUUUAAUAUCAAAGGAGCAAUCCGCUGAAAGAUGGGCUCGCGUCUGAUUAGAUAGUUGGUGGGGUAACGGCCUACCAAGUCGACGAUCAGUAGCCGGACUGAGAGGUUGAACGGCCACAUUGGGACUGAGAUACGGCCCAGACUCCUACGGGAGGCAGCAGUGGGGAAUAUUGCACAAUGGGGGAAACCCUGAUGCAGCAACGCCGCGUGAAGGAAGACGGUUUUCGGAUUGUAAACUUCUUUUCUUAGUGAAGAAGCAAGUGACGGUAGCUAAGGAAUAAGCAUCGGCUAACUACGUGCCAGCAGCCGCGGUAAUACGUAGGAUGCGAGCGUUAUCCGGAAUUACUGGGUGUAAAGGGAGCGCAGGCGGGACUGCAAGUUGGAUGUGAAAUACCGCAGCUUAACUGCGGAGCUGCAUCCAAAACUGUAGUUCUUGAGUGGAGUAGAGGCAAGCGGAAUUCCGAGUGUAGCGGUGAAAUGCGUAGAUAUUCGGAGGAACACCAGUGGCGAAGGCGGCUUGCUGGGCUCUAACUGACGCUGAGGCUCGAAAGUGUGGGGAGCAAACAGGAUUAGAUACCCUGGUAGUCCACACUGUAAACGAUGAUAGCUAGGUGUGGGGGGUCUGACCCCUUCCGUGCCGGAGUUAACGCAAUAAGCUAUCCACCUGGGGAGUACGGCCGCAAGGUUGCAACUCAAAGGAAUUGACGGA